GGGUAGCUCAGUGGGGUAGAGCAUGGUGCCGAUAACACCAAGGUUGCAGGUUCGAUUCCCCGUGUGGGACA